rnacentral:rRNA from 1 species
GAUGAACGCUAGCGACAGGCCUAACACAUGCAAGUCGAGGGGCAGCACGAAGUAAGCUUGCUUACUUUGGUGGCGACCGGCGCACGGGUGCGUAACAGGUGUGCAAUCUGUCCAUAAUCGGGGAAUAGCCCAGCGAAAGUUGGAUUAAUGCUCCAUGUGAGUUUUAGAGGCAUCUCUUUAAUUUGAAACGCAAGGAUUAUGGGUGAGCACGCUUCUGAUUAGGUAGUUGGUGAAGUAACGGCUCACCAAGCCGACGAUCAGUAGGGGUUCUGAGAGGAAGGUCCCCCACAUUGGAACUGAGACACGGUCCAAACUCCUACGGGAGGCAGCAGUGAGGAAUAUUGGUCAAUGGACGGAAGUCUGAACCAGCCAAGUCGCGUGAAGGAAGACUGCCCUAAGGGUUGUAAACUUCUUUUGUGUGGGAAUAAAAAGAGGGACGUGUCCCUCAUUGUAUGUACCAUACGAAUAAGGAUCGGCUAACUCCGUGCCAGCAGCCGCGGUAACAC